rnacentral:rRNA from 1 species
UACAUGGGGUGCAAACGUUGCUCGGAAUUAUUGGGCGUAAAGCGCACGUAGGCGGUUUGUUAAGUCGGAUGUGAAAUCCCUCGGCUCAACUGAAGAAGUGCAUCCGAAACUGGCAAGCUUGAGUACGAAAGAGGAUCGCGGAAUUCCCGGUGUAGAGGUGAAAUUCGUAGAUAUCGGGAGGAACACCCAUGGCGAAGGCAGCAAACUGGUCAUCAACUGACGCUGAGGCGCGAAAGCGUGGGUAGCAAACAGG